ACUGAAAUCUCUAAAUAGAGAACUUCAGCUACACCUUUUGGAGCUUGCAGAUGUACUGGUUGAAAGGCCUUCACAAUAUGCAAGGAGAGUGGAGGAUAUAUCUCUUAUAUUUAAGAACUUACACCAUCUCCUUAAUUCAUUGCGUCCUCACCAGGCCAGAGCAACACUAAUUCACAUACUAGAACUUCAGAUACAACGUCGUAAACAAGCUGUGGAAGAUAUAAAAAGAAGAAGAGAAGAGGCACAAAGACUGCUCAAAGAAGCUCUUGCAACCUUAGAUGGCUAUUAGCUUGCAUUGUCGGCCCUUGGACCAUGCAAAUGUUGCACAAAUGUUCGAACUGCUGUAGCUGAACACCACUUGAUAUUUCACAUCAAUCAAUUGCAAUACAAUGUGUUGCAUUUACUUGAAAACUAUUGGUACAACUAAAAAUGUCGUCUGUUUUCGAGUGGUAGGUUGUAAAUGAUUGACAUUCACAUUGCUGUGAACGAAG